AUUGAACGCUGGCGGCAUGCCUUACACAUGCAAGUCGAACGGUAACGGGCCUCCGGGUGCCGACGAGUGGCGAACGGGUGAGUAAUGUAUCGGAACGUACCUUUCAGUGGGGGAUAACGUACGGAAAGUUACGCUAAUACCGCAUAUUCUGUGAGCAGGAAAGCAGGGGAUCGCAAGACCUUGCGCUGUUUGAGCGGCCGAUAUCAGAUUAGCUAGUUGGUGAGGUAAAGGCUCACCAAGGCGACGAGCUGUAGCGGGUCUGAGAGGAUGAUCCGCCACACUGGAACUGAGACACGGUCCAGACUCCUACGGGAGGCAGCAGUGGGGAAUUUUGGACAAUGGGGGCAACCCUGAUCCAGCCAUGCCGCGUGAGUGAAGAAGGCCUUCGGGUUGUAAAGCUCUUUCGGCCGGGAAGAAAUCGUAUCAGCUAAUACCUGGUGCGGAUGACGGUACCGGCAUAAGAAGCACCGGCUAACUACGUGCCAGCCGCCGCCGUAAUAC
rnacentral:rRNA from 1 species